rnacentral:lncRNA from 1 species
CACUCAGGAUGGAGUUCAGUGGUCCUAUCAUGGCUCAUUAUAGCCUCAAACUCCCAGGCUCAAGCAAUCCUACCAUGUCAGCCUUCCCAGUAGCUGGAACUACAGGCUGGAGUACAGUGGCACAACCUCUGCUCACUGCAGCCUCCACCUGCCAGGCUCAAGCAAUUCUCCUGCCUCAGCCUCCCGAGUAGCUGGGAUUACAGGUGGACAGUCUAGUUGCAGGAAAACAAGCUCAGAGAUCCCACUGAGUCUACAUUAUACUGGAUCUACCAUGAAAGACUUGUGAAUCCAGGAAGAGAGACUGACUGGGCAACAUGUUAUUCAGGUGGGAACAUCCAGUUGCAGGAAAACAAGCUUAACACGCCCACUGAUUCUACAUUAUGCUCCUACCUCCCGGCAGCCUCUCCAGGCCCAGAACUUUCUCCAGUCAGCCUCUACAGACCAAGCUCAUGACUCUCAAUGGCCUAUUUAGGCCCAUACCCUACGUCACGGCAGCCUCCGCAGAUGAGGCUACUGCCUCACAACAGCCUCCACAGGCA